rnacentral:rRNA from 1 species
UACGUAGGGUGCGAGCGUUAAUCGGAAUUACUGGGCGUAAAGCGUGCGCAGGCGGUUGUGGAAGUCUGUCGUGAAAGCCCCGAGCUUAACUUGGGAAUUGCGCUUGUGACUGGCGUGCUGGAGUGUGGCAGAGGGAGGUGGAAUUCCACGUGUAGCAGUGAAAUGCGUAGAGAUGUGGAGGAACACCGAUGGCGAAGGCAGCCUCCUGGGCCAGCACUGACGCUCAUGCACGAAAGCGUGGGGAGCAAACAGG